AUAUGAAGUCGGACCUGCCCAGUGAGUUUUAAACGGCCGCGGUACUCUGACCGUGCAAAGGUAGCAUAAUCAUUUGCCUUAUAAUUGAAGGCUGGAAUGAAUGGUUUGACAAGAAUACAGCUGUCUCUUUUAGAUUGUUUAGAAUUUUAUUUUUGGAUGAAAAAGUCCAAAUAUUAUUAAAAGACAAGAAGACCCUAUCGAGCUUUAGAGGAAUUAAUGGGCUUAAAAUAAAUCAAUAUAAGUAAAAGAUAAACUAUUAAAUACUUUGGUUGGGGCAACCGAGGAGUAAAUAAAGCCUCCUUUAAAUCAUAUAAAACUUGCUUGUGUUGAUCCAAGAAUUUUGAUCAAAGGAAUUAGUUACCGUAGGGAUAACAGCAUUAUCUUUUUCAAGAGCCCAUAUCGAAAAAAAGGUUUGUGACCUCGAUGUUGGACCAGAAUAUCCUAAAGAUGCAGAAGUCUUUAAGGGUUGGUCUGUUCGACCAUUAAAAUUCUA
rnacentral:rRNA from 1 species